AUCCAUUCCCAGGCUCAUUUCUCCACAAAUUUACUGUUCCUUUCUCCACAAAUCACUUCUGAACUGUGGCUUGGAAGUCUCUGGGCCUCAGUCUGCAGAGACACAGAAGCAAAUGAUUGUAUGAAGCUCCUGACUGUAUGAAGUUCUCAGUCAAACAAAAUAGUACCUCUUCUGCCCAUCUCAGAGGUGGAUAAGGAUAAAGUGAAAUAAUGGAAAGCACAAGGAACAGUAAAAGGCAAAUGUCAAGAAGCUGUUUGCAAAGUUACCAAGA
rnacentral:lncRNA from 1 species